UCAAGCAUGAGAACGUCUAUGUAAUUCUGUUCGCGUAAAAUUCUGUCCUAUGAAAUGCGUGUUAUUAGACGCUUGGAUUUAUUAACACGUUGAAAUUAAUGCACAUCUAUACUUCCCCUAAAAUUGUGUGAUAUUACACUAUGGCGCGCAUUAUUAAAUUAAAGUGUUUUUCCCCAGUGCAAUGCUGUUUGUGUUAAACUUUGUGGGCCAUUGAAUGGCCGCUAUUCGUGAGCUAAGAGCUAAACUCGUAAGUUCAGGAAAAACUUAGACCUUUACGUUUUCUGGCGCCGGUAUCAGAGUUCGCCGUUUUUACAGAGGUAUUUGGCCUUUUUAAUUUUUUUUGAUAAUCCUUUGGCUUGUUCGCCGGUUUUACGAAGAAGGCCGGCCGCGUAUUACCAAACGAUUCAAAGUGACUAAUCAUACGCAAAUCGCAUCGAGACCCGCAACGCAGUGUGAGAUUACGAUUGAAAAUUGCUGCAAUAUGAACGUAUGCGAAACGCCCUGUUUCGAUACGAAUCUUCUGCAGAAGGCAUCAUCGAAAGCAGAUGAUAAGCAGUACCUGUUGGACGACAUCGAGAACAUUGCCGGUUCCUAUCGCAAGCUACCCAGCUGCAGUAAUGAAAAGGGUCUACCCUAAUCACUUGAAACUAAGACUGCUAGCGGGGAUAGUAUCCUCGAUUGGUGGCUUGAAUUCCUCUCUAAAGAGGCAGCUGUAAAAGUGCGAUUAAAAAAGCGGAUUUGCUUAGCGAUGAUGAAAAUCGUUGCCCCCUAACUGAAAUCAAUCCAGACUUAGCAAUAUACAAAUAGGUAGUUGUGAACUAAUUUAUGUGAUUAGUUAAUAGAAAAAAUAAAGCUAAGGGCUGCAGGAAGGUUGCAUUAGAAGAAUGAUUGGGCUAAGUAGUAUAUAUUGCUUGUCGGUUUUAAUUUUUUUUCAUUUGUGGCGUGCGCACGUAAAUUUGGUGCUUAUGUGUUAUUUUAUUCGCCCAUAUACUCCGUCGAAUUCACUAGUUUAAAAUGUGUAAUUUGCAAUACGAUUAUUGAUACCCGUAUUUUGGUCAUACAACACCACAUCAUGUUUUAUUUUAUUUUUUAU